AAUGAACGCUGGCGGCAUGCCUAACACAUGCAAGUCGAACGAGACCUUCGGGUCUAGUGGCGCACGGGUGCGUAACGCGUGGGAACAUGCCCUUAGGUUCGGACUAACUCCCCGAAAGGGGUGCUAAUACCGGCUAAUGUCUUCGGACCAAAGAUUUAUCGCCUUUGGAUGGGCCCGCGUUGGAUUAGCUAGUUGGUAGGGUAAAAGCCUACCAAGGCGACGAUCCAUAGCUGGUCUGAGAGGAUGAUCAGCCACACUGGGACUGAGACACGGCCCAGACUCCUAGAGGAUGCAGCAGUGGGGAAUAUUGGACAAUGGGCGAAAGCCUGAUCCAGCAAGGCCGCGUGAGUGAUGAAGGCCUUAGGGUUGUAAAUCUCUUUUACCCGGGAUGAUAAUGACAGUACCGGAAGAAUAAGCACCGGCUAACUCCGUG
rnacentral:rRNA from 1 species